GAUGAACGCUACCGAUCGGCUUAACACAUGCAAGUCGAGGGGUAACGUGUUGGAAGCUUGCUUCCGAUGACGACCACCGGCGGAUGGGUGCGUAACGCGUAUGCAACUUGCCUCACAGAGGAGAAUAACCCGGAGAAAUCCCGACUAAUGCUCCAUACACUCUUUAGCACGCCUGUGCGUAAGAAGAAAGAUUUAUCGCUGUGACCUACGCAUGCGUCCUAUUAGGUAGUUGGUGAGGUAACGCGCUCACCAAGCCGACGAUAGGAAGGGGUGCUGAGAGGCAGAUCCCCCACAUUGCGACUGAGACACGGACCAAACUCCUACGGGAGGCAGCAGUGAGGAAUAUUGGUCAAUGGAGGAAACUCUGAACCAGCCAAGUCGCGUGAAGGAAGAAUGUCCUAAGGAUUGUAAACUUCUUUAACGAGUGAGUAACGACUUCCACGUGUUGGGAGUUUGAACGUAGCUCGAGAAUAAUUAUCGGCUAACUCCGUGCCCGCAGCCGCGAUAAUACGGAGGAUACCAGCGUUAUCCGGAUUUAUUGGGUUUAAAGGGUGCGCACGUGGUCCUGCAGUCAGUGGUGAAAAGCUGAGGCUCAACCUCAGCCUUGCCGUUGAAACUGCAAGACUUGAGAGUACAUGAUGUGGGCGGAAUGCGUAGUGUAGCGGUGAAAUGCAUAGAUAUUACGCAGAACUCCGAUUGCGAAGGCAGCUCACAAAGGUAUGUCUGACACUGAGGCACGAAAGCGUGGGGAGCAAACAGGAUUAGAUACCCUGGUAGUCCACGCCGUAAACGAUGAUUACUCGAAGUAUGCGAUAUGACAGUAUGCUUCCAAGCGAAAGUGAUAAGUAAUCCACCUGGGGAGUACGCCGGCAACGGUGAAACUCAAAGGAAUUGACGGGGGCCCGCACAAGCGGAGGAACAUGUGGUUUAAUUCGAUGAUACGCGAGGAACCUUACCCGGGAUUGAAAUGUAUGUGCGCCUCUUGGGAAACCGAGAGGGUUCUCUUCGGAGACACAUAUGUAGGUGCUGCAUGGUUGUCGUCAGCUCGUGCCGUGAGGUGUCGGCUUAAGUGCCAUAACGAGCGCAACCCUUAUCGUCAGUUACUAACAGGUCAAGCUGAGGACUCUGGCGAGACUGCCGUCGUAAGGCGAGAGGAAGGUGGGGAUGACGUCAAAUCAGCACGGCCCUUACAUCCGGGGCGACACACGUGUUACAAUGGUAGGGACAGAGAGUAGCCACUCGGCGACGAGGAGCGGAUCUUGAAACCCUAUCUCAGUUCGGAUCGGAGUCUGCAACUCGACUCCGUGAAGCCGGAUUCGCUAGUAAUCGCGCAUCAGCCAUGGCGCGGUGAAUACGUUCCCGGGCCU
rnacentral:rRNA from 1 species